GCUGGUCUACGCGUCAUCAUCCCCCAGACCUGGGUUGUGCACUAGCUAUUUGUAUUUUCAUCACCAGUAGUGUCCCUCCUUGGAGGAUUGUAACAUGAACUCUUCCUUUUCAAUACAAAGAAACGCAGGAAUCUCACUGCACUUUCUCGAAAAAAAAGGAAGAUAAAAGGAUAAAUGAAGAAGUCAUACAGAAGGCAAAGGGAGACGAGAAGCCAAAGUAAAAAUAUAUAGAAUGGGGUAAAGGGUUGGUGCGGAAACAAGCAGCUGAGGCUCGAGUGAAGCAGCUUGAAGAUGAGAAGAACAACCAUUUGGGCAAUCGAUAUUAGGCACCUGCUUUGAACAAUGGAUGAUCUUGAGCUGGACAUCAUGCUGAAGAACAGACUCGGACGGGGUGAUCCUAUGGCUCAUCUUGUGAAGGUAGUUCCUCAAAAUGCACCUCCUCACAGGUGGCUGAAACGUGGGAUGGACCCUCCUCCAAACCGUUACGAUAUAAAACCUGGCCGUCCUUGGGAUGGUGUGGAACAUAGCAAUGGAUACGAGAAGGACAUGUACAAGCUAAAGAACGAUAAUCAGGCCACGGAGCAAGAGGCCUAUGUUUGGUCUGUCGCAGAUAUGUGAGUGUCGCCGCUGUUCCAAGUACAUGUGUGCCUGAUUUGAUCAUUAUUACACGGCUGGAUCUGUUGUUGAAGCUGUGCAAUGUGCCCGAAUUGAAGCGGAUCCUUGUGAAUGUUUCUUGUUCAAACCAAUAUAAUGACUAGGAGUUAUUUGCUUGAGUAGCCCCGUCGCUCGCUUUGGAGCGGCAGUUUUGUUGUGCAUUUGUUGGAUUCAGCUACCCAUUCUCCUUUUGUAACAUGUAUGUAGGUGGAUAUAUACGUUGAAACAUUUUGGUUUGGCACAAAAGAGGGUAAGUGCAAUCCUUCUGUUGUAUAUAAAUAACUUUGUUGUCACAAAAUGUGCAGUUAUUAUUAUUAUUAUUGUUAUUAUUAUUAGUGAGCAAGUCUGGAACCACCUUCUGUGAGGUUUGACUUCGGUCAGUUUUGUCUAACUGAUUGUGUAACUUGCAAGCAUCUUACAGGUAUUAUGGCGAACAUUACCACCAACCCAAGUACCCAAGAGCCCACGCAACCAGUGGUGUCACAAUGGUGCUUCGCAGCAACCAAAUGCCAACACUUGAAUUCUCAACUGAAAUAAAGUGAAUCCUUGAUGCAUUGCACACCCACAGAAGUGAAAAUUGUGUUCACUCGUAAACACCUGGGAGCUCUCUUCCUUGCCGUCAGCAGCUCGACCAACCCGUGGGCAGACCACCGCACCUUUGAUGACAAACAUCCAUCACCUGGUUGGGUCUCCUCUUCCUAAAUCAGCUUGAUUUUGUGAAGUUGAGACGCAGCACCUACAAUUGCGUGUAAAUGGAAAAAAGAGUUGAUGCCCCUGUAGACCGUCGAACACCCUCGUUGAUGUAAGUGAGUGAUUAGGUAUGGAACACACAUCUCACAUCUGUUGGUGCAAAUGCGAGCCUUUCCUCGGAAGGCAGCCGCCUACAAACUACAAACUGAAUUAUUACCCACAAACGUCCUAUGAUUAAUGGACUUGAAUGCUGGUGGAUUUACCUUUCAAGGUUUCAAAAGUGCCCCUUUGGUUUAUAAUAACUUGGUUGCAAGCUU